AUUGAACGCUAGCGGGAUGCCUUACACAUGCAAGUCGAACGGAGUGGCGAACGGGUGAGUAAUGUAACGGAACGUGCACAUUCGCGGGGGAUAACUACGAGAAAGCGUAGCUAAUACCGCAUACUAUUGGUGUGGACGAUAUCGGAUUCGCUUGUUGGUGGGGGAACGGAUAACCAAGGCCACGAUCAGUAGCUGGUUUGAGAGGAUGACCAGCCACACUGGGACUGAGACACGGCCCAGACUCCUACGGGAGGCAGCAGUGGGGAAUUUUGGACAAUGGGUGAAAGCCUGAUCCAGCCAUCCCGCGUGUGCGAUGAAGGCCUUCGGGUUGUAAAGCACUUUUGGCAGGGAAGCGGUACCUGCAGAAUAAGCACCGGCUAACUACGUGCCAGCAGCCGCGGUAAUUC
rnacentral:rRNA from 1 species